CCUAUUCCCUCGCAUCUCAUCCGCACUUUGUCUCCCUCUCUUGCUCUUCCUCUCGCUAACAUUUUCAAUCUCUCCCUUUCCUAUAGCACAUUUCACUCUGCCUUCAAACAUGCAACCGUAACCCCAAUUCUGAAAAAGCCCAAUCUUGAUCCCAACUCCCCAUCCAACUACCGCCCUAUCUCACUACUGCCAUUUGUCUCCAAGCUCC